rnacentral:misc_RNA from 1 species
GAUGAAGAACGCAGCGAAAUGCGAUACGUAAUGUGAAUUGCAGAAUUCAGUGAAUCAUCGAGUCUUUGAACGCACAUUGCGCCCCCUGGUAUUCCGGGGGGCAUGCCUGUCCGAGCGUCAUUGCUGCCCUCAAGCACGGCUUGUGUGUUGGGCCUCCGUCCUCCUCCCGGGGGACGGGCCCGAAAGGCAGCGGCGGCACCGCGUCCGGUCCUCGAGCGUAUGGGGCUUCGUCACCCGCUCUUGUAGGCCCGGCCGGCGCUUGCCGACACAUCAAUCUUUUUUCCAGGUUGACAUCGGAUCAGGUAGGGAUACCCGCUGAACUUAAGCAUAUCAAUAAGCGGAGGA